CUAUCCCCCUCCAAAAAGUAUCUACCAAACAGAACACCCUCUAUCAUCCACAGAGGUCUUUCUAAACCAUUUCUGAGUUUGGCAGUUUCAUGUACUUGUUCAGUGAAUAUUGAGAUAUGUGUUAGGUGCUACGAAUAGCAUGGUGAGCCAAACCAGGCUCGGUCCUCACGACUUCAUGGAGCUUUUGUAGUCUGGUAGGGGAGAGGGACAGUCUGGUAACCUCACAACUGAACACACUAUGACAGAGUGAAGCAAUUACUUGGAAGGAAAGGAAUCCAGUUCUGAGCAAACGUACCACAAAGGAAUCAGAUUUAUGUUGGGGUUACAGGGAAGGCUUCUCAGAGGAGGUGAUUCUUAAACGGAGAUCAGAAGGAUAAGCAGAGACUAACUCGGCAAAGGGGAGAGGGAAGAGAUGUGCAACAGGCUCUGUAGCAAGAGGAAAGAGGAAGCAUGGCAAGUCUGAGGAAGAGGGAGAUGCAACUGUAAUACAAGGAUUUGUGCAGGUACAUUCAAAAUUAGUUACUUUGACCUCCAGGGUGAAACUGCAGUGUUGAUUACAGCAGUAAAGUAAAUGACAAAGUUCAUAGCAUGAGCCUCUCCUAUCCCAGAGUAAGUUGCAUUUCAUACUUAAUUUUCUACUGCCAUCCUGGUUCUGCCACUUGCCGCCUCAUAUAACCUGUCUUCCGUGCGAACAGUUUGUGUAUCAGCCACUCUUAUCAGAGCAGAUAUUUUUUUCAAGUACUUUCUGUCUUGGUUCUUAUAUAUAUGGAAUCUCUUUCUUUUGUGAACAAAGCGGUGGAUGAAUGGGUAAACAGAUACCUGGAUAAUCAAUGAAAUAUAAAUUAACUAAUUUAGACACUAAAAUAUAUAGAAUUCUAUUGAAAUUCUAUUUGUGUAAAAACAGAUUUCAAUGACUUUGGCAUUUACUUCCUAGCAGAGAGAGGAGAUACUCAAGAAACCUAGUGAUGAGGAAGAUGAAUGCAGAAAAACUAGCCUAGUAAGCUGAAGGGCAGGGGGCAUUAGCAGGGAUUUCUGUGGAGCAAGCAGGCAGACUGUUUUAAGGGAGGGUCUGCCACUUUCAGAAUCUAUCUGUACUCCUGUGGGUUUGUGGAUUGCCUUUUCUUUUUUUAAGUUCUAUUUAAAAUGAUUUAUGCUAGUCAGACACUCAAUAGACAGGCUUUUUCAUCUCAUGCCACUUUAUGGAUUUAUAACUAGGUUUAUACUUUCCAGUGACUGGGAUGUUAGUUUGGUAACCAAAAACACCCUCCUCCGGGCAUCAGGCCAUCAGAGCCCUGGGGAAACUAAAGCCACUGUAAGAAGCUUAAUGAAUACAUAUAAUCUUGAUGGCUGGGCACGGUAAUCCCAGCCCUUUGGGAUGCCAAGGUGGGCGGAUCACUUGAGGCUGAGAGUUUGAGACCUGCCUGGCCAACAUGGUGAAACCUGUCUCUACUAAAAAUACAAAAAUUAACUGGGCAUGGUGGUGCAUGUCAGUAAUCCCUGCUACUCAGGAGGUGGAGGCACGAGAAUCACUUGAACCCAGGAGGUGGAGGUUGCAGUGAGCUAAGAUUGUGCCACUGCACUCCAAUCUGGGUGACAGUGAGACUGUCUCUCAAAAUAAUAAUAAUCAUCAUCAUCAUCUUGAGACCUAUGUUAAUCACAGAAAAGCCCUAACAAAUUCUGUCAUCUCUGCUAGUGAGUUCAUGCUAUUGAUUUGCUUCCAAUGAUCUGUUCUACAGUUUCUCUAUGAAUUUUGUUUGGAUAUUGCUGGAUAUUGCUGGAGAAAUAUGAGUUCUCGUCUUCCUCUUUUACAAUUCUAUGAGGAUUAUUUUUAUAUUUCUUACAUUUAUCACUUUGAAAUUAUUUAUUUUCAUUCCAGUGGAAUUUACAUACAUUAUACUUUCCAAACUGUUGAUUUUUGUCUUUCUGUCCGUCUGCCAUUUAUCAUUGAUUCUCAGUGUAGGCUGGCCACUUCCUGCCUCAAUAUGGGAAUGCCUAUAUCUGUGCCUGUGUCCAGGCCAUAUGUAUAGGAUGGUGUUAGUUCUGGAAAAGACUUCCGUGCACAGUUCUUCCUACUCAUGUCCUCAGACCUGG
rnacentral:lncRNA from 10 species